rnacentral:rRNA from 1 species
UACGUAGGUGGCGAGCGUUGUCCGGAUUUACUGGGCGUAAAGGGUGCGUAGGCGGAUAUUUAAGUGGGAUGUGAAAUCCCCGGGCUUAACCUGGGGGCUGUAUUCCAAACUGGAUAUCUAGAGUGCAGGAGAGGAAAGCGGAAUUCCUAGUGUAGCGGUGAAAUGCGUAGAGAUUAGGAAGAACACCAGUGGCGAAGGCGGCUUUCUGGACUGUAACUGACGCUGAGGCACGAAAGCGUGGGUAGCAAACAGG